UUACGGCCAUAUCCCGUUGAAACAUCGGUUCUCGUACGAUCACCGAAGUUCAGCAACCUCGAGCCUCGUCAGUACUUAGCUAGGUGAGAGGCUUGGGAAUACCAUGUGCUGCAA